AAGACCUUUGCACUUUUGGAGCGGCCGAUGUCUGAUUAGCUAGUUGGUGGGGUAAUGGCCUACCAAAGCUUCGAUCAGUAGCUGGUCUGAGAGGACGGCCAGCCACACUGGGACUGAGACACGGCCCAGACUCCUACGGGAGGCAGCAGUGGGGAAUUUUGGACAAUGGGCGCAAGCCUGAUCCAGCCAUGCCGCGUGAGUGAAGAAGGCCUUCGGGUUGUAAAGCUCUUUCAGCCGGGAAGAAAAGGUUGGGACUAAUAAUCGCAAUCCAUGACGGUACCGAAAGAAGAAGCACCGGCUAACUACGUGCCAGCAGCCGCGGUAAUACGUAGGGUGCGAGCGUUAAUCGGAAUUACUGGGCGUAAAGGGUGCGCAGGCGGUUUUGUAAGUCAGAUGUGAAAUCCCCGGGCUUAACCUGGGAACU
rnacentral:rRNA from 1 species